GAGAGAUCAGAUUUUCCAUCGUCCUCUACUCCUCGUUUCCCCAAUAUCA
rnacentral:sRNA from 1 species